GAGACUCUCUUUUUAUAAUAAAAUUUUAUUUUUCAGAAUCAAAAAGUUCUCUACUAUCCUGAAAUUAACAUUCUUUUAAAGAUUGAAAGACGAUAUGACAGAAAUGAACUCAUCCAAAUCUGUAGUAUUCGAGAUUCCUAUCCCGAUAAUUAAACAUUUUUAAAUAAACUUUUUUCUUGCUUA